AGAGUUUGAUCAUGGCUCAGGAUGAACGCUGGCGGCGUGCUUGAUACAUGCAAGUCGAACGGAUGAGCGGUGGGUAGGAGCCUUGGAGUUGGUGGAAUAUGAGAAAUCGUAGGAAGCCGAUGAAGGGGAAGAAGCCCUGAGCUUGUCAGUGGCGGACGGGUGAGUAACACGUAGGAAUCUGCCCCGAGGUGGGGAAUAACUGACCGAAAGGUUAGCUAAUUCCGCAUACGAUCCGGAAGGAUGAAAGGCGCAAGUCGCCUUGGGAGGAGCCUGCGGCCGAUUAGCUAGUUGGUGAGGUAACGGCCCACCAAGGCGAUGAUCGGUAGCUGAUCUGAGAGGAUGGUCAGCCACACUGGAACUGAGAGACGGUCCAGACUCCUACGGGAGGCAGCAGUAAGGGAUAUUGCACAAUGGGGGAAACCUUGAUGCAGCAACGCCGCGUGCGCGAAGAAGGCCUUCGGGUCGUAAAGCGCUUUUCCGGGGGAAGAGGAAGGACAGUACCUCGGGAAUAAGUCUCGGCUAACUACGUGCCAGCAGCCGCGGUAAGACGUAGGAGGCGAGCGUUAUCCGGAUUUACUGGGCGUAAAGGGCAAGUAGGCGGCGGCAGAAGUUGUGCGUGAAAUCUCCCGGCUCAACUGGGAGGGAGCGUGCAAAACUGGGUCGCUAGAGGGCAGAAGAGGGGAGCAGAAUUCCUGGUGUAGCGGUGGAAUGCUCAGAUACCAGGAGGAAUACCAGUGGCGAAAGCGGCUCUCUGGUCUGAACCUGACGCUGAGAGGCGAAAGCUAGGGGAGCGAACGGGCUUAGAUACCCCGGUAGUCCUAGCUGUAAACGUUGGAUACUGGGUAAUGGGGGGUAUAAACCCUCAGUGCCGAAGCAAACGCGUUAAGUAUCCCGCCUGGGGACUACGGCCGCAAGGUUAAAACUCAAAGGAAUUGACGGGAGCCCGCACAAGCAGCGGAGCGUGUGGUUUAAUUCGAUGCGACACGAAGAACCUUACCUGGGUUUGACAUGUAUGUAGUAGGGAAGCGAAAGCGGACCGACCCGCAAGGGAGCAUACACAGGUGCUGCAUGGCUGUCGUCAGCUCGUGCCGUGAGGUGUUGGGUUAAGUCCUCUAACGAGCGCAACCCUCGUUGCUAGUUAAAGAUUUCUAGCGAGACUGCCGGGAUAUAACCGGAGGAAGGUGGGGAUGACGUCAAGUCAGCAUGGCCUUUAUAUCCAGGGCUACACACACGCUACAAUGGUCGGUACAGAGGGAAGCCAAGCCGCGAGGCGGAGCUAAUCUCACAAAGCCGAUCUCAGUUCAGAUUGCAGGCUGCAACCCGCCUGCAUGAAGUUGGAGUUGCUAGUAACCGCAGGUCAGCUAUACUGCGGUGAAUACGUUCCCGGGCUUUGUACACACCGCCCGUCACGUCAUGGAAGCUGGGAAUACCUGAAAUCAGCGAGCUAACCGCAAGGAGGCAGCUGCCUAGGGUAGGCCUAGUGACUGGGACGAAGUCGUAACAAGGUAGCCG
rnacentral:rRNA from 1 species